UUCUUCCGUUUUCCGCUUUUGUACAUUCCGGUUUGCUUGGUUGCCCUUCUGACUCGGUGUUAAACCUUCCAUUUGUUCAAGUGAUUUUGUAUGACUAACUAUUAGAGGGAGCUUCUUCCGGAUUCUGGCGCUCGUGCUUUGUGCGGUGGAACAGAGUAAAAUUAUUUCGGUGCCGGUGCUGCGAAUCAAAUCAUGUCGAAGCCGAAUGUUCUAGUUCUUGGAGGAUGUGGAUUCAUCGGACGACACUUGGUGCACUAUCUGGUAACGAAUGAUCUCGCCGGACGCAUAAAGGUGGUCGACAAAACGCCUCCUCUGAUGGCAUGGCUCAAUCGUGCGCACAGCGUAGCAUUCGCCGACGAACGGGUCGAAUUCACGAGUGCCAAUCUCAUCAAUCCCGCCUCUUGCCAGAAUGCGUUCCGGAUGACCGAACCGGUGACCAUGACGACGACGACGACGACGGCUGUGGGAACGGGAUGGGAUUUUGUGAUAAACUGUGCGGCUGAGACGAAACCCGGCCAAACGGAUCCAGUGUACGAGGAGGGCAUUCUUAAGCUGAGCGUAAACUGCGCCACAGAAGCGAUCAAAACGGGGGCCAAACGGUACGUUGAGCUCAGUACCGCUAGCAUGUACUCGGACGAAAAGGUCCCGCAGAAGGAGGACUGCCCGGUAGAACCGUGGACGAUGGUUGGCAAAUACAAGGCCAAGGUGGAACGAGAGCUGAUCGCGAUGGAGGAGCUACCCUACACCAUACUUCGGAUUCCGAUUUGCUACGGUGUAGGCGAUCGGAAGGGACUGACUCCUCGGCUUAUAAUUGCCGGCAUUUACAAACAUCUCGGCGAAACCAUGAAGCUACUGUGGACCGGUACGAUGAAGAUGAACGUGGUACACGUCGAGGACGUGUGCGGUAGUAUCUGGGAGCUGCUGCAAACCGAUCGCAGCAUCCGGGAGAUCGUUAACGUGUGUGACGAUAGCGAUGCAACGCAGGCAACGAUCAGUGAGCUGUUGGCGGACAUUUUCGGCAUCGAGAUCGAUUACUGGGGCAUUACGAUGUCGAACAUGACGAAGCUCGACAUGGCCGGUGCGAUCGAGGAGAUCAACGAUCGUCACCUGGGACCGUGGGCUGAUGUGUGUACCCGGGACGGUGUGCUCAACACGCCGCUCACACCGUACAUGGAUCAGGAGCUGUUGCUUCACAAGCAUGUGCACCUGAGCAACGAGAAGCUGAAAUCGUACGGCUAUCAACUCCGCCGUCCGCGUAUAACGCGUGAAUCGUUGGAGGAAAUAGUGAAGGAUUUUAUUGGAAUGAACCACUUUCCGCGCACUUUACUCUACUGAUCUGCUCGAGCACGAUAGACUCGGAAGAGGAAGAGGGCCAUCGCAAGCCGUUCUUAUUGCUCAUUACUCUAUAUUUAAUCGAUCACAGAACUGAAGUUAAUACGAUUGGUCUUAAAAAAAUACUUAAAAAACAAAACAGAAGAUCUCGGAGGAGAACGAAGUAUAAGGACAGCGGCUUUUGCUGUUGUACGACGGGUGCCCCAUUAGGAGAAAAAAAAUCAACGAACGCCUAGCGUUGCACACAAAAAAAGGGAGAUUAGUCUUGAAAGAAUCAUACAAGCAAUGUUGGUCGUGCACUAGAUAAGAUAGCUAAUUGAAUUUGUUGAAGCACCACAAUCGGGAUGAAGGCAGGGAAGUAGACAGUUGUGUUAAAAGUUGGCUGGUCAAAAGCAUUACGUUACUUACUCUGUGAUCGUUCGAAUUACUGAUGGUCAGUUCGCCGUCGUGGCAGUUUGCGUUCACCAUUCCAUUUGGUGUUUUGUGCCGUGUUACAUUGUGAUUGAAAAAGACGACGAAUCCGAUCAACAUCGAUCCGGAAGCACUCCACUAUGGUAGAGGGACAGGGUAUAUUUUAUGCAUUUGAACGGGAGGAAAUACGUUGGGCAAAGAUCAGAGAAACAUACAUAUAAUAAUGUGCCUCUAUACAAUAGAAAGUGAUGCAAAUAGUGAUUAGGCGCACCACGCCGACGAUUAUCAAGCCGCUGGUGCUAAUAGUGGUAAAAUUGCCGAAGGCAGAAGACAGAACGGGACUGCCGGUGAUGCUGUAACAGCUGAUUGUUCUUCAGCAGAGGACGAGUCCGGAGUAACGAAUCCGCGCACUGUGCCUUUUCGGUGAAGCCGAGACCAUGGCGAAAAAUAGAAUUCAUCUUUAUUAAUAGUUCAAGGUAUCCGUUCAUGCCUGACCUGAUCUCUGGCGCCUUCGUUUCACUCCAACCACUCUACCACGUGUACGUGUGGGAGGCACACGCCGUGUUCUCUGUCCUGAUUGAAGGACUGC